UGGCUCAGCGGUUAAGAGCACUGGCUGCUCUUCCAGAGGUCCUGGGUUCAAAUCCCAG
rnacentral:tRNA from 1 species